AUUGAACGCUGGCGGCGCGCUUAACACAUGCAAGUCGAACGGUGAACCGGGCUUCGGCCCGGGGAUCAGUGGCGAACGGGUGCGUAAUACGUGGGCAACCUGCCCCUCACACUGGGAUAACUCCGGGAAACCGGGGCUAAUACCGGAUACUCCGACCGAUCCGCAUGCUUCGGUCGGGAAAGGUCCGCCGGUGAGGGAUGGGCCCGCGGCCUGUCAGCUUGUUGGUGAGGUAACGGCUCACCAAGGCGACGACGGGUAGCUGGUCUGAGAGGGCGGCCAGCCACACUGGGACUGAGAUACGGCCCAGACUCCUACGGGAGGCAGCAGUGGGGAAUCUUGCGCAAUGGGCGAAAGCCUGACGCAGCGACGCCGCGUGGGGGACGAAGGCCUUCGGGUUGUAAACCCCUUUCGGCAGGGACGAAGCGAUCGUGACGGUACCUGCAGAAGAAGCUCCGGCUAACUACGUGCCAGCCGCCGCAGUAACAC
rnacentral:rRNA from 1 species